GAUGAACGCUAGCGGCAGGCCUAAUACAUGCAAGUCGAACGGUGUCUUCGGACAUAGUGGCGCACGGGUGCGUAACACGUAUGCAACCUACCUUACAUUGGGGGAUAGCCUUUCGAAAGGGAGAUUAAUACCGCAUAAGACAGUAGCUGGGCAUCCAGCAGCUGUUAAAGAUUUAUCGAUGUAAGCUGGGCAUGCGUCCAAUUAGCUAGUUGGUGAGGUAACGGCUCACCAAGGCAAUGAUUGGUAGGGGAACUGAGAGGUCAAUCCCCCACCCUGGCACUGGGAUCCGGGCCAGACUCCUAAGGGAGGCAGCAGUAGGGAAUAUUGGGAAAGGGACGCAAGUCUGACCCAGCCAUGCCGCGUGCAGGAUGAAGGCGUUAUGCGUUGUAAACUGCUUUUAUACAGGAAGAAACGACUCUUGCGAGAGGCAUUGACGGUACUGUAUGAAUAAGCACCGGCUAACUCCGUGCCAGCAGCCGCCGUAAAAC
rnacentral:rRNA from 1 species